AACGUUGGCGACGCGUUUAAGCAUGCAAGUCGAGCGGCUAAAGCUCCUUCGGGAGUGUAUAAAGCGGCGAACUGGUGAGUAACACGUAGAUAUUUGCCUUACAGUCAGGGAUAGCCAUCGGAAACGGUGAUUAAUACCUGAUACUAUUUUACGAUGAAAGGCCCGUUUGGGUCGCUGUAAGAGAAGUCUGCGCCUUAUUAGCUUGUUGGCGGGGUAAAGGCCCACCAAGGCGAUGAUAAGUAGCCGGCCUGAGAGGGUGAUCGGCCACAUUGGGACUGAGAUACGGCCCAGACUCCUACGGGAGGCAGCAGCUAAGAAUAUUCCGCAAUGGACGAAAGUCUGACGGAGCGACGUCGCGUGGAUGAUGAAGGCCUUCGGGUUGUAAAGUCCUUUCGGCAGGGAAGAAUAACGCAUAGAGGAAAUGCUAUGCGGAUGACGGUACCUGCAUAAGAAGCCCCGGCUAAUUACGUGCCAGCAGCCGCGGUAAUACGUAAGGGGCAAACGUUGUUCGGAAUUAUUGGGCGUAAAGCGCGCGUAGGCUGACAUAUAAGUCAUCGGUUAAAGACCCGGGCUCAACCCGGGGAGUGCCGCUGAUACUGUAUGUCUGGAAUUACACAGAGGUAACAGGAAUUCUUGGUGUAGGGGUGAAAUCUGUAGAUAUCAAGAAGAACACCAAUGGCGAAGGCAAGUUACUGGGUGAUAAUUGACGCUGAGGUGCGAAAGCCAGGGGAGCGAACGGGAUUAGAUACCCCGGUAGUCCUGGCCGUAAACGAUGCACACUAGUUGUAGGGUAUGUUAAAAAUACUCUGUGACGAAGUAAACGCGAUAAGUGUGCCGCCUGGGGAGUAUGCCCGCAAGGGUGAAACUCAAAGGAAUUGACGGGGGCCCGCACAAGCGGUGGAGCAUGUGGUUUAAUUCGAUGGUACGCGAAGAAUCUUACCCGGGUUUGAAUUGUAUCGGACAGCUUCAGAGAUGAAGUUUUCCUUCGGGACUGAUAUGAAGGUGCUGCAUGGCUGUCGUCAGCUCGUGUCGUGAGAUGUUGGGUUAAGUCCCGCAGCGAGCGCAACCCUCACCCUUUGUUGCUACCCUGCUUCGGCAGGGAGGACUCUUAGGGAACUGCCCCGGUUAACGGGGAGGAAGGUGGGGAUGACGUCAAGUUCUCAUGGCCCUUAUGUCCGGGGCUACACACGUGCUACAAUGGGAUGAACAAAGAGACGCAAACCCGCAAGGUCAAGCAAAUCUCAAAAAACAUUCCUCAGUUCGGAUUGCAGUCUGAAACUCGACUGUAUGAAGGUGGAAUCGCUAGUAAUCGCAGAUCAGCAUGCUGCGGUGAUACGUUCUCGGGCCUUGUACACACCGCCCGUCACACCACCCGAGUUGAGUUUACCCGAAGU
rnacentral:rRNA from 1 species